CAGGGCGGGGCGGGGCCGUCCCCGCACCCCUAGCAGGCGCCCGGCCCGGGGCGAGCCGGCCCAGCCCCCGAGCCCGCGCCGCCUACCCCGCGCGCCCCGCGCUGUCUGUCUGGGGCGGCCGGCCGCGGGGCUCCUCGAGGCGACGGGCAGGCCUGAGCUGGGCUCCCGCGGCCGGGGAGGGAGAGAGGCCGCACGGCGCGGCGAGAGCCCAGGUCCCCUCAUGCAGAGGGCAUUUACUGGGUGACUGCAGUACUGCAAAAGGUACAAAGGAAAUGGAAGAUCUGGUCCUUGCAGGUCAGGAGUUUACAAUCUAAUUAGAAACACAAGCAUAUAUACAGAGAACACCAGAAUAUAACCUCCAGGUGUUACAUAAGCAAGACUCUGAAGAGGGUUGAGAUAUAUAUAUAUAUAUGUAUAUAUAUAUAUAUUUUUUUUUUUUUUUUCAAUGACGAGAAAGGCUUUGUACCUAUAUGUUCGGUGGGGAUCAGGAAAGGAAAUUCUAGGUCAAAUUACAGAAAGAGUACCUGUGUAUGUACCUUUGCUCUGGAACAAUAGAAUGGGGCUCUCCCGUGUCCCUUGAAGUGUCAACUCUGCCACUUGCAAACUGUUUUGACCUUGGACACAUUUUAAACUUAAGAAGGAAAUAAUGCCUGUGUCAUACAUUGUCAUGCAGCUCAAAUGAGUCUACACACGUGUAAAAAGUUUUCAAGCUUCUAUGUAAAUGUUCCUCAAUCAUGCAAGUUACCAUCUUAUAAUCGGACCUCUUGUUAGCAGUCUUUUCAGUCCCCUGUAGGUUGUAAGCUCCACGAGGGCCAGGGACCAUGCUGUGUUCUUCAUGGGUCACCGUGCUAUGCCUAGCAGGUUGGGAUGCUUAAUAAAGGUUUGCUGGAUCAAUGAAUAAAGAAUUUGAUGAAUCUUGUAAUAUUUUGAACAUUUACUUCUUUCUGUUCCCUAUGUAGUUCUUUCAGUAAUGGUCUUAUUGUGUGGCUG
rnacentral:lncRNA from 1 species